AUGAUGCAGACCUUACUACGCAUGCUGAAUACUUCAUCAACAAGCUCAAAGAGACAUGGAACCGUCACUAAGAACACUCAAAGGUCCAGAUCAGACAUUUUCCAAUUGAGUACGUGGCGACUACGAAGCAAGGGAACAAGACGGACUGUGGCUUUCACAUGUUGGAAUACCUUGCAAAGUGGGAAGGUAUACUGGUUCCUGUUGUCACAGCUGCAAUGGUCUUGA
rnacentral:rRNA from 1 species